rnacentral:rRNA from 1 species
UACAGAGGGGGCAAGCGUUGUUCGGAAUUACUGGGCGUAAAGGGCGCGUAGGCGGCCUUCUAAGUCAGACGUGAAAUCCCGGGCUCAACCCGGGAACUGCGUCUGAGACUGGAAGGCUCGAAUCCGGGAGAGGGAUGCGGAAUUCCAGGUGUAGCGGUGAAAUGCGUAGAUAUCUGGAGGAACACCGGUGGCGAAGGCGGCAUCCUGGACCGGUAUUGACACUGAGGCGCGAAAGCCAGGGAGCAACGGG